CCUACGGGAGGCAGCAGUGAGGAAUAUUGGUCAAUGGACGAGAGUCUGAACCAGCCAAGUAGCGUGAAGGAUGACUGCCCUAUGGGUUGUAAACUUCUUUUAUAAAGGAAUAAAACGAGGCACGUGUGCCUUUUUGCAUGUACUUUAUGAAUAAGGAUCGGCUAACUCUGUGCCAGCAGCCGCGGUAAUACGGAGGAUCCGAGCGUUAUCCGGAUUUAUUGGGUUUAAAGGGAGCGUAGAUGGGUUGUUAAGUCAGUUGUGAAAGUUUGCGGCUCAACCGUAAAAUUGCAAUUGAUACUGGCAGUCGUGAGUACAGUUGAGGUAGGCGGAAUUCGUGGUGUAGCGGUGAAAUGCUUAGAUAUCACGAAGAACCCCGAUUGCGAAGGCAGCUUACUAAGCUGUGACUGACAUUGAUGCUCGAAAGUGUGGGUAUCAAACAGGAUUAGAUACCCCAGUAGUC
rnacentral:rRNA from 1 species